GAUGAACGCUGGCGGCGUGCCUAAUACAUGCAAGUCGAGCGAACCACUUCGGUGGUGAGCGGCGAACGGGUGAGUAACACGUAGGUUAUCUGCCCAUCAGACGGGGACAACGAUUGGAAACGAUCGCUAAUACCGGAUAGGACGAAAGUUUAAAGGUGCUUCGGCACCACUGAUGGAUGAGCCUGCGGCGCAUUAGCUAGUUGGUAGGGUAAAGGCCUACCAAGGCGACGAUGCGUAGCCGACCUGAGAGGGUGAACGGCCACACUGGGACUGAGACACGGCCCAGACUCCUACGGGAGGCAGCAGUAGGGAAUCUUCGGCAAUGGGCGAAAGCCUGACCGAGCAACGCCGCGUGAAUGAUGAAGGCCUUCGGGUUGUAAAAUUCUGUUAUAAGGGAAGAAUGGCUCUAGUAGGAAAUGGCUAGAGUGUGACGGUACCUUAUGAGAAAGCCACGACUAACUACGUG
rnacentral:rRNA from 1 species